rnacentral:tRNA from 1 species
GCCCGGCUAGCUCAAUCGGUAGAGCGUGAGACUCUUAAGGAGGUCCUCCGUCAUCUCAAGGUUGUGGAUUCGACCCCCACGUCGGGCU